ACUUAUUAAUGGUAAGGCAGGCUUCGGAAAUGAGAAUCAUGCAAAUAAUGAUUUCAUUUUUUACCCGUGUUUUUAAGGGACUGAGAUAUCUUUGUCAUUUACCUGGGAUUUACAGGGACCAAAAAGCUGGACAUCAUUCACCACUGGGAACAGCAUAUUGUUCCUGGAAGAGGCAAAAGCCUAGGGCUUCAAGAUGCCGGGGCUUUAAGAAACCAAGGCAUGACCUCAAGUGAUUUGCCGGAGGUGGCCUCGGUGGCAGCAGUCAUUGAAGAAAGGAAGACAGCUGCCCAGCCAGUCUGACAGACCAUACACAGACAGCCCUGUUCACAGGGAGGCGUGGGCAAAGAUUUCAUGACGAAACAUCAAAAGCAAUUGCAACAAAAGCAAAAAUUGACAAAUAUGAUUUAAUUAAACAAAAGAGCUUCUGCACAGCAAAAGAAACCAUCAUCAGAGUGAACAGACACAACCUAUAGAACGGGAGAACACUUUUGCAAUCUAUCCAUCUGACAAAGGUCUAAUAUCCAGAGUCUACAAGGAACUUAAACAAAUUUACAAGAAAAAAACAAACUACCCCAUUAAACAGUGGGCAAAAAACAUGAACAGACACUUCUCAAAAGAAGACAUUUAUGCAUCCAAAAAA
rnacentral:lncRNA from 10 species